rnacentral:rRNA from 1 species
GCCAGACUCCUACGGGAGGCAGCAGUGGGGAAUAUUGGGCAAUGGGCGCAAGCCUGACCCAGCAACGCCGCGUGAAGGAAGAAGGCUUUCGGGUUGUAAACUUCUUUUAAGAGGGAAGAGUAGAAGACGGUACCUCUUGAAUAAGCCACGGCUAACUCCGUGCCAGCAGCCGCGGUAAUACGUAGGGGGCGAGCGUUAUCCGGAUUCACUGGGUGUAAAGGGAGCGUAGACGGCCAUGCAAGCCAGGGGUGAAAGCCCGGGGCCCAACCCCGGGACUGCCCUUGGAACUGCAUGGCUGGAGUGCGGGAGGGGCAGGCGGAAUUCCUGGUGUAGCGGUGAAAUGCGUAGAUAUCAGGAGGAACACCGGCGGCGAAGGCGGCCUGCUGGACCGCGACUGACGUUGAGGCUCGAAAGCGUGGGGAGCGAACAGGAUUAGAUACCCGGGUAC